UGGGGAUCGAUCUACAGGCGACCAAAAGGGGGUAAACCCUAGCUCAUCAAACAUCUUCAAAUCUGAAAGGAAAUUGGAGCUCAAACUCUUGAAUAAACAUGAAUUAACGAUCACCCAAGCUAGGGGAUCGUAAGUUUGACGCUUGACAAGCUAGGUGGAGCAUGGGAAGGAAGCGGAUCAUACAAGCUAAACAUGAAGAAAAGCAUAACCGAAUGCAAGGUAAUGUAGGCGAUACUCCGGACGACGGUCAAGCAACAUGUCAAAGAACCGGACACAACACUUCUGAAGCUUCCGCGUUAAUAUAUUUUGUUUUAACUAAAUGUGAAUAUGUAACUCUUGAUGUCACUUUUGUACGUCUUAAACUAGUGGGGAUGUUAAUCCUAAAUACUCUAAUCGUGUAUGAAUAUUAAGUUAACAAUUUAUUUUUG